rnacentral:rRNA from 1 species
AUUGAACGCUGGCGGCAUGCCUUACACAUGCAAGUCGAACGGCAGCACGGGAGCAAUCCUGGUGGCGAGUGGCGAACGGGUGAGUAAUACAUCGGAACGUGCCCAGUAGUGGGGGAUAGCCCGGCGAAAGCCGGAUUAAUACCGCAUACGACCUAAGGGUGAAAGCGGGGGAUCGCAAGACCUCGCGCUAUUGGAGCGGCCGAUGUCAGAUUAGGUAGUUGGUGGGGUAAAAGCCUACCAAGCCUUCGAUCUGUAGCUGGUCUGAGAGGACGACCAGCCACACUGGGACUGAGACACGGCCCAGACUCCUACGGGAGGCAGCAGUGGGGAAUUUUGGACAAUGGGCGCAAGCCUGAUCCAGCCAUGCCGCGUGCGGGAAGAAGGCCUUUGGGUUGUAAACCGCUUUUGUCAGGGAAGAAACGCUCUGG